AAAAUCCGUCGACUUUAGAAAUCGUGAGGGUUCAAGUUUCCCCA
rnacentral:tRNA from 1 species